rnacentral:rRNA from 1 species
AUGAACGCUGGCGGCGUGCCUAAUACAUGCAAGUCGAGCGAACGGACGAGAAGCUUGCUUCUCUGAUGUUAGCGGCGGACGGGUGAGUAACACGUGGAUAACCUACCUAUAAGACUGGGAUAACUUCGGGAAACCGUAGCUAAUACCGGAUAAUAUUUUGAACCGCAUGGUUCAAAAGUGAAAGACGGUCUUGCUGUCACUUAUAGAUGGAUCCGCGCUGCAUUAGCUAGUUGGUAAGGUAACGGCUUACCAAGGCAACGAUGCAUAGCCGACCUGAGAGGGUGAUCGGCCACACUGGAACUGAGACACGGUCCAGACUCCUACGGGAGGCAGCAGUAGGGAAUCUUCCGCAAUGGGCGAAGGCCUGACGGAGCAACGCCGCGUGAGUGAUGAAGGUCUUCGGAUCGUAAAACUCUGUUAUUAGGGAAGAACAUAUGUGUAAGUAACUGUGCACAUCUUGACGGUACCUAAUCAGAAAGCCACGGCUAACUACGUG